CCUACGGGUGGCUGCAGUCGAGAAUCAUUCACAAUGGGGGAAACCCUGAUGGUGCGACGCCGCGUGGGGGAAUGAAGGUCUUCGGAUUGUAAACCCCUGUCAUGUGGGAGCAAAUUAAAAAGAUAGUACCACAAGAGGAAGAGACGGCUAACUCUGUGCCAGCAGCCGCGGUAAUACAGAGGUCUCAAGCGUUGUUCGGAAUCACUGGGCGUAAAGCGUGCGUAGGCUGUUUCGUAAGUCGUGUGUGAAAGGAGCGGACUCAACCCGAGGACGGCACAUGAUACUGCGAGACUAGAGUAAAGGAGGGGGAACCGGAAUUCGCGGUGUAGCCGUGAAAUGCGUAGAUAUCGAGAGGAACACUCGUGGCGAAGGCGGGUUCCUGGACAUUAACUGACGCUGAGGCACGAAGGCCAGGGGAGCGAAAGGGAUUAGAUACCCGGGUAGUC
rnacentral:rRNA from 1 species